rnacentral:lncRNA from 1 species
GGAAACUCUCAAGAUCAGCCCUUGAAUCUUGGAUUUCUAGAGAGAGAAAGUGAGAGAGAAAGGAGUUUGAUCUUCUUGUGAAAUGAGAACAAAUGAAAGAAAAAUGAGGAGAGAGGAUGAUUAUCCAGCCCUCAAAGCAUGGAGGUGGCUUGUGAGGGAGGUAAAAAGUACAAGGUAUGGUGGGGAGGAGUGUGGGUUGUCAUGGAGUGGGUGAGGGGGUUGCUUGCGUCAUAACUAAGGUAAGGUCAACACUUCUUCUUUUUGUACUUUACCAACUCCUUUUUAAAUAAGAUUUUACCCUUAAAAUGUGAUUAAAUCAUUAAUUUAGGGGUCUUAUAAUUAAAAAUAAAGUUUUGGGUGAAAAUCCCAUGUUAAAAUAAUCAGAAAUGGGUUUAAAAUGCAAAAAUAUGUAAAAAUAGGCGAAAUCCGAGCUGCCCAGCGAGACCCUUCGGAUCUCGGCCGAGGCUCGGUUCUCUGGGCGAAGGUUCGGACGCGGGUGGCUGAGGCGGGGAGGCGAAAGGCGAACAAGCUCGGUCCGAAGCGAUGCAGUCCGAAGCGAAGGCGAGAAGCGGAAGGUAGAGGUUCGGUCCGAGGCAGGCUAGAACCGAAGGUACUGUUGUGAACAGUAAUGAACAGUACUUUCGGUUCGGACCCUUCUUCCUUGCAUGGUUCGGUUCGGACCUUUCCUCCUUGCAUGGUUCGGUUCGGAUGAACAGUACUUUCGGUUCAGCUCAUGAACAGUACUUUCGGUUCGGACCCUCAUGAAUAGUGCUUUCGGUUCGGUUCAUGAAUAGUACUUUCGGUUCAGAGGGUUCGUUUCCUUAAGUCCGUUUUUCGCGUAGACUUCCGUUCUUGGGCUAUUUUCGCCAAAUUCGAGGGUCGGGAUGCCCCGAGUGAUUAUAGAAAGUUGGGAGAGAUUUCGAGAGAGAUUUGAGAGAGAUUCCUCGUUCUCAGAGAGAUUUGGGAGAGAUUUGACGUACUUGGAGAGAUUUCGCAUACGAAGAGAUACGUGAGAGAGAUUUCACAUACUUAGAGAGAUUUGGGAGAGAUUUGACAUACUUGGAGAGAUUUCACAUACAAAGAGAUAUGUGGGAGAGAUUUCACAUACUUAGAGAGAUUUGGGAGAGAUUUGACAUACUUGGAGAGAUUUCACAUACGAAGAGAUAUGUGAGAGAGAUUUCACAUACUUAGAGAGAUUUGGGAGAGAUUUGACAUACUUGGAGAGAUUUCACAUACAAAGAGAUAUGUGAGAGAGAUUUCACAUACUUAGAGAGAUUUGGGAGAGAUUUGACAUACUUGGAGAGAUUUCACAUACAAAGAGAUAUGUGAGAGAGAUUUCACAUACUUAGAGAGAUUUGGGAGAGAUUUGACAUACUUGGAGAGAUUUCACAUACAAAGAGAUAUGUGAGAGAGAUUUCACAUACUUAGAGAGAUUUGGGAGAGAUUUGACAUACUUGGAGAGAUUUCACAUACAAAGAGAUAUGUGAGAGAGAUUUCACAUACUUAGAGAGAUUUGGGAGAGAUUUGACAUACUUGGAGAGAUUUCACAUAUAAAGAGAUAUGUGAGAGAGAUUUCACAUACUUAGAGAGAUUUGGGAGAGAUUUGACAUACUUAGGGAGAUUUGGGAGAGAUUUGACAUACUUGGAGGGAUUUCACAUACGGAGAGAGAUUUGGGAGAGAUUUCACAUACUUAGAGAUAUGUGGGAGAGAUUUCACAUACUUAGAGAUAUGUGGGAGAGGUUUCACAUACUUAGAGAUAUGUGGGAGAGGUUUCACAUACUUAGAGAUAUGUGGGAGAGGUUUCACUGGUGACCUUUUUGAGUGUCCGGCUACGCACUGCAAGGUCCUUAAACCCCGUUAAGCCUUGAUUAGGGAUCUUGCAUACUCCCGAUGAGUAUGUAACAUUGUUGUAUCGGUUUGGCUUUCUACGUACCACCGUUUUAGGUUAAGGAGAUUUAGGUGAACGCACUUUUCGAUUUAUGAUCUCUCAUUAGAAUAGAGAGUUGUUUAGAAGUUAUAUAACGUAAACUCUAGUACUCACGGCGAAUUGGGUUGACCGGUUU